GGGGCAACAUGCCAUGUGCAAUGAUUUUGAUGGAUGGAUACAAUGGAUGAAAAAAAGUAGUAAGCCAUCUGUCAGGGGUUCAGGAGCAGAGGCAAGGGCAAGGGAGGAAACAGAGAGCGAGGGGGAGGAGGCAGAAGAAAAGAUGAGUGAUGACGACGACCCGAGAUCUCCGAGUCUUUCCAGUGAAUCAGAAGAUUCACAGAAAGGAGCACCAGUGGCCAGGGCAAGGGGGGAGCCUAGGGGGACACCCCAGGAAGAUAGAGCCAGAGGGGACUCAGAGGGGAGCAGUUGGAAAUCGGGACCAGCGUCACCGCCAGAGAGCAGGGAAGAGGAAGGGAGCCAGGGAUCAAGCGCUGGCAGCUCACAACAGGGGGGAGGGCACGAGUCAGGAGUGGCCACACCUCCAUCGGGGAGCGAAGAAACGGUCAGACGGAAGGUGGAAGGUUGGGCGCGCGCGCCAAGUUCAAAUGCACAGGAAGGUGGCACAGUAGGCAGCCCGGAAGGGAGCCAGGUCCUAAAGCCCGCCGAAAGGAGGGAGAAGAGUCAGGGGGGUCAGCGUCAGAGGAAUCCCGGAAAGAAGAGACCCCAGGGGGCAGAGGGACCCAGAGAAGAACAGUCAGGCGGAAAAGGUGGAGCAGGGCUAGGAUAUUAAGUUGGUGUACAAGGGGCGGAGACUCAGACGGAGCUUCGCCGGUCUAACCAUGAGACGUAGAGUUGCACGCAGCAGUUUGAGAAUGGAAACUGUAACUCAAUAAAGACUUUUGUUUAAUGAUCGCUGGCUAGCGUGAUCCUCUGUGAGCUAGGAUCUGGAAGCAGCUCUGACAGUAAGCUCCGUCUCUUUAAAUUGUGGGCAUCUACGGCCUCGCGGAGAGGAGAGAAAGCGGGUGCCUACUAGCGAGCUCACGAAAGGCAGACAAUAUGACGGCCGAACAGCAGAUAGCGGAACUCAGAGAAGCAGUGUCACGACUGAAUGCCGA